UUACAGUUUUUUUUUCUUGUAUUUUUGAUCAAAUAAAUAGCAGCCUUGAUGAGCAUAAGAGACUUCUUUAAAAAACAUUACAAGUCUUACUGAUCCCAAACGGCAGUGUGCGUAAUAUAACAAACUCAAUAAAUAAAUAAAUAAUUAAAUCAAUAUAUAAUAAAUAUAUAAAUGUAACUAGUUUACCCAGCUAAUAAUGUCCCAGAAUGUUCUAAGGACUGUCAGAUAACCAAACCAUACAAUAACAUUAGGAGAAUAAUAACAAUAUGUUUUCUUGGUUAUCAUCCAUUAAUAAAUUGAGCUUUUUUAAAGCAUAAAUAUCGAGAUACUGAAACCAGCAGUUUUUAUUCAGGUUUGAUUAAACUAAAAGUCUCAUGCUGAGCACAAGUGCAACGUCUUGUCAGUCAUCAGUCUGUGGUAUUUAUUAUAGAACACUCAUUGUUCUUGAGCUGAGUCCAUCACCCUUCAGGCUUUCUAUAAAGAAUAGAGCAGCUAUGGCAACAGCCAUUCCCAAACAUGCCACUGUGCUGCAAGAAUGUAAAAAAUCAGCAGCUACUAAACUGCUCAGAAAUCAAAUCCACGGGAAGAAAAUGUGCCAUGCAUGAGUCUCACCAGUAACUCAAAUAUGACUACUCAUAAGAAGACAAUCAGCAAGCAACAGAGACCAGCUCUAAGAAUCCCAUUUGGUCACCGACGUAGAACAGAUAUAUUGCUCCUCAAAAAUGGUCAAAUGACGUUGAAACACCCACAAGCCUUUCCAAUGCUGGGAGAACUUCCUUCUUUGGCAGGUGACAGGAGUUUCAACACAACAAAUAGAGAGGAUUACCCUUAUUACAAACCAGAUGGCACUCCAAUCGUGUGGCAGGGAAAAGCCCCCGCAAGAGAAAACAGGACUGGCCAAGCACAGAGAGGUUCUCUUUACCAGCAGGACUUCCCUGCUCCAAAGAAAAUCUACAUCAGGAGAAAUCAGGUUGUACCUCAUCCUGACAACCUGGCGAUCAACACUUCAAUGAGAGCUGAAUACAAAACAGUGCAGCAAGAGGCUUUCCCAGGCUGGGAUGUCUCUGUGCACACACGCCCAACGCCUGUCCGACUCAAAAGAACAGCUGCAGAUGACUGA
rnacentral:lncRNA from 1 species